rnacentral:lncRNA from 1 species
GGGCAGGAGAAGAGACUCGAGCGGCACCCGAGCCGCAUCCACGCCGCCCGCCCGCCCCUGGGGUCUGGGUAGGUAACGGGCCCGGCGGGAAGGAGGGGCUCCCAGGCCGUCCCUCCCAGCGCUCACCUCAGCUCCUCGUCGACAUUCCCGCGGGGCUGUUCGGCCGACGCCACCAUAGAGGAAGUCGUAGAGGUCUUGUUCUUCAAGAUCCCCUUGAUGGGCCGGUGCGAGGCCGUCGAGGCCGCCAUUGCCGGGCGCUCCGGCUGUCGGCUCAGGGUCGCUGCUUGGCGUGGGGUCCGCGAAGAGAAGGGUCGGCACAGCAGAGACUCGCAGGCAGCCGCAGAUCCCGCUCAGGGCUAAAGCGGCCGCAACUGCUGCCUCGGAAACGGCUACCGCAGCGGUUGUCACGACACAACGACCCCGACGCCAGAGCCAACGCCGAACGGGUGGCGGCUACUCGCGCACCCUUAGCCACUGGCACUUGACCCGCGGCUCGCGGAGAGACGCCGGCCUAGAGCUCCAGCGCAGGAGCGACGCGACGCCGAAGCCAAGCGGACCCGCCCUCUCGCGAUAUCUAGGGAGGAGGCGGGGAGAGGGCGGGGCGAGAACAAAGCCGACCUCCUCGCCCCGCCCCCUCCGUCCCGCCCGGGCUGCUCGCCCCGCCCCCGCGCGGCGCUGGGAGGCGGGAGCUGUCUCUGAGAACCUGCGGGAGAGCGCCCGGGCUUGCUGCUUCCCGGACCCGCGCGUCUCUCGAGCACCCUCGUCCCACCACCUUGUGAGGCCGUAGUGUUAUUUUUAUUUUUUAGAUCAGCAGACUGAGACUCGAGGUGACGUCACUCCGCAGAGAGGUUAGCUGACUUGAAGAAAACGGGUAUCUCCUCUUUCCAUUUCGCCCGUGUAAACAGCCGAACUGCCUAUUAUAAAAGCAUGGACUGCCAGCAUUGGAGUGGUCCUUAGAGGCCUAUUAUGAAAUCAUAGAAUGUCUGCAUUGGAAUCGCCUCACCUCCUUUUACCGCUGGAGAAGCCGACGGACAGACGGGCAGCGACCCCCGCCGUCGCACAACCCGUCUAGGCAGAGAGCGCAGGAGACGGGAGGGCGGCAGGGACACAUCUCCCAGCCAAGGACCUCCUGGGCCCGCAGAGGCCGCGACAGGUUCCCCCCACAGAGGGAACCAACUCUGCCGCAGGUUGAUGUGGACUUCAAGCCUGCAGAACGGAGAGCCCAUUUCCAUUGCUUAAAGCCACCUCGUGUGUGGUAUUUGUUAUGGUCCCUGUACACUCCCUUCCCUCCCUCUCCCAAGUCCAGUCCGCAGCUCGCUCAUCACCAGGCUCUUUUCCAUGACUCUUUCUUGAUCAGGCCUUUUUAUCGUCCUCACCACAGGUUAGAGCACAGCAGACUGAGCCACCCAGAACUGGCCCCUCCGGUGGACCAGCCCCUGCGGAUUCACAGACCACUGGUCCUGGAAGGGACCUUGUCAAGCAGGCCCAUAAGGUGGCUAUUCAGCCUGUUUCUCCAACAACCCCAGGGGCUAGAAGCCCGCCACACCCCCGUGUAACUCAUUUUGUUUUUGGACAGCUCUGACUCUGGGAGUUCUUAGAUUGAGCUGACACCUCGCUCCCAGCAAUGUCUGUCCACUGCUGUGGGGGGUGAGAGGAAGCGUUUUCCCCUAUCUAGCCCCUAUAGCAGCAGUUUCACUCCCAUGGCUCAUCUCUGGACCACAGUCUCAUCUUCUUUAACACAGGCUCUGUGCCUUUUGAGGAUGACCCUGUUCUGUGUCCUUAGGACUCUGCCCCUCAGGGAUGACUGUAGGGUUCUGAAAACGAUUGUUUUUAUCGUCUGGCCCCGAGCCCCUAGCUCCUAGAUGAGUUCCUGGCACAGAACAGGGCCUCAGUAUGGGAAUGGAUGUGGAUGGAGAUAAUGGAGGGGAAGUGAGCUGGAAGGGGAGAAGGGAAACAGGGUUGCUGGUCACAGAGUGGAAUGUGUUCCCCAGGGAUUUGCCUCAGCCAGGGGCCUGCACAGUCACUGUUGGCACUGUCCCCACCUUUGUUCCCAGUCAAAUAUCCACUGGUGCCGUCUCUCCCUCCCAGGCCAGGACUGCUCAGUGGAUCUAACAUUACACCCUGACAGCCCUGUCCAGCCCAUGGAGCAGAGAGAGAGGGUUCUCAGCGAGGGGAAGCAGGAUGGCCACCUCCCUUCCCUUCCUGAGUUCUUUCCACCCCAGUGUUCAACACCUGUGUUGCGUCUCCUGCCCUGUCAGCAGGAGUCUAGGUCAGUGAUGGCAAUCCUGUUUUCAAGGGAAUACACAAACUUCCCUGUAUGUUCCAAAUUAUUGGGCAGAUUUGCUUUGUUCCUGCUUGGGCUGGGAAGCAUCACUGAGUUCAGCAUCCCUGAACUCAACUGUGACUGGGCCCUUGAUUAAGCAACAGCUUGCUUUCAGACCCUCUAAUGAAAGGGACUACGAUCGUAUGACAUAAAGUGUUUUAUUAGUUAAUUAACUAACAAACAUUGGAACAGGAGGUGAUGAAGAGUUCUCUGAAGAACCUUGGAAACAUAUUUCCCUCAUCAAGAGUUAAACUUUUGUCUCCUGUACUGGUUCUUCCACUCCCAAACCCACAACAAAUGAAUGCAGAUGAAGAUGACUUUGGUAGCACUUAAAAAAAAAUAGUUUGUAAAAUUGUGAGGGCCAGUACUGCUUUUUUUUUUUUUUUUUUUGAGACAAAGUCUUGCUCUGUCGCCCAGGCUGGAAUGCAAUGGCACAAUCUCCACUCACUGCAACCUCUGCCUCCUGGGUUCAAGUGAUUCUCCUGCCUCAGCCUCCCGAGUAGCUGGGACUACAGGUGCCUGCCACCACACCCAGCUAAUUUUUGUAUUUUUAGUAGAGAUGGGGUUUCAUCAUGUUGGCCAGGCUUGUCUCAAACUUCUGACCUCAGGUGAUCUGCCCGCCUCAGCCUCCCAAAGUGCUGGGAUUAUAGGCAUGAGCCACCACACAUGGCCUGCUUUUCCUUAUCUUUCAGAAUAGUUGAACUACUUUAUUCCUCAGUGUGGCCCAAAUAAGAUUUUCAAAUGCCUCUAAACAGAGCUCUCCUUCUGUGCCUCUGCUGAGGUUUGCUCCUGUAGGAAGUUAUCUGGACCAAACAGCCCGAGCACUGAAUUUAGCUGUAUUGCUGUUACAUUUCCUGUGUGUUGAGGGUUUGGCUGCCAGGAGGUGAAUUGUAGAUAGAAUCUUUCAUUCUGGUUUCAGUUUCUGGAAGUAGCUAUUGAGCUCAAGGCAAAUCAUAUAUUUAAAGAUAUAUACAUGAUUUAAGGAUAAUCUGGCAUUUAUCUCUGCUCUCUUUUUGAAGACUUCAUUAUCAUGGUUGCCUGACCCAACACAACAUAUUUGGAGGAGGAGAGGGGACACUUUUAUUGUACCCCAUCACGUGGCUGAGUCAUUUGGCUCUCCAUUCACUGGAACAGACGACUAUGGACACCACCAUUGGGUUUCCCACCAAGGACAGAGUUCCAAAGCAACAGUGGCUUCCAUGGUUGGCUCACCCAGCCUGCCUGAGUCAUCAGCUAGGUCCACAGAGUAGAGAAGUGGGUAGUGCCCCCGCCUAACAUCUGGAAAAAUUCCCAAAAGUUGUGACUUCAUGACCACUGAGUCAGCAGCAACUCUUUUCUUGCCAAGAAUAGCACAUUGUUCUUUUCCUUUUCAGGUAAUCCCUCCCCGGAAAGAGAAGAUCACAGAUUUUGUCAUAUUAAAUACAUUGUAGAAAUUCAUGGUAGCAGGGGCAAGAUCAUUUAAACAAAACAGAAAGUUUCAGAGAGAGAAAAAGCCAAGGACAAAGAUUAAUCAUUUUUCUGCUUAAAAAAAAUGGCUUUGAUUUGCAACCAUGGAAUGCUCCACUGUUUCUCUUCUCUUCAAAGACAUCUACUGAAAGGAUUCCUUAACCUUACCAAGUGGCCAAAAUACUUUUCUGAGAAGAGUCACAGAGCAUAGGCCCCCCUAGGGUACACAGAGAUUUCAUUAGUCCCUAGAUGUUUCCUGAUCCUUUUAAAAACUGGUUAAAUUCAGAGACUCUAGGCAAUUACUUCUUUCAGAACCUGUGAGGCAAAAACGAAAGAAGAAGGCAGGACACGCAGUGUAACAAACCUUGGAAUGGUAAGUAGGAAAUAUGAGUUAGUUUUUUGGCUAAGCUAUGAAUUUACCUUGUGCCUGCCAGAAAUCACUCAGUCUUUUGUGACUGUAAAUUUUCUGUAAGUGUUAAUUGGUUUGGUUUAUUAUUGCAAGAAGCAAGGGAGCAAUGUUGUGUAUUAUAAUUUCAUUGUGUCAAUUUUGCCAAAUUAUCUUGCAUUUUGUUAUUCUAUGAACUCAUAAUGGGAUAAGGAGUAUAGGCUUUGAUUCAGAACAUAUGUGAUGUUGCUAUAAAUGCUUCAUGGAAAACCCUAAAUAUAUUUUGAAGCCUACAUAGUCAAAAGUCACCAUUGGAAGACUUUUUUACUUUACUAUUGUAUUUAUGCUCGUUAGCACUCAUUCUUGUUUGAAACGUCUCAAAUGCGUAAUUUUAUUAUUUUAUUUGUUGUCUCCAGAUUGGUCUGAGGACUCCGCUUUCUUCACUGCCCAUUCAUCUUCAUACUGUUCUCAUAUUUUUUUUUAAAUUGGGAUAUGCAAUGAUCCUUAGUUUAUAAAUUCAACUCCACUUUGCCACACACAGUGUUACGCUUGGGGAAACAAUUAGAACUUGCCCUUCUUGGCCAGGCGCGGUGGCUCCCGCCUGUGAUCCCAGCACUUUGGGAGGCCAAGGUGGGCAGAUCACGAGGUCAAGAGAUGGAGACCAUCCUGGCCAACAUGGUGAAACCCCGUCUCUACUAAAAAUACAAAAAUUAGCUGGGCAUGGUGGCGCGCGCCUGUAGUCCCAGCUAUUUGGGAGGCUGAGGCAGGAGAAUCGCUUGAACCCGGGAGGCAGUGGUUGCAGUGAGAUUGCGCCGCUGCACUCCAGCCUGGUGACAGAGCAAGACUCCAUCUCAAAAAAAAAAAAAAAAAAAAAGAACUUGCCCCUCUUUUUUUUUUUUUGCUCAAGGAACUCAGUCUGCCGUGGUUGCUCAUUGUCUAGGAUGAAGUCCAAAUCCCUUGGGCCUUCACAAUCCAGCCCUGUCUGUUCUUCUAGUCUCCUUCUCUUUUUACAUCCACUUGCUUUCUGCUAUGUUCUUCACACUAGUCACACUGCCCUUCUCAGGGUGUCAGAGCAACCUAUAUUCUGUCCCUUUUUCAUGCCUUUACUAAUCUAUGUGAAAUACCAUCCCCUAUUCUUGCUUUUAAAUUACCCCAGUUCAAAGGUCAUCUCCUUCUCCGACUCCACGCAGGCCGAGUUAGUGUUCACCUUCACUGAGAUCCUAAGGAGCUGUUUGCAUUCCUCUAUCUCAUUGUAUCAUCAUUGUCUAAGUGUCCGUCCCUCUGCUGUGGCCUCUUUGGGAGCAGGUGCAUGUCUUCCUCCUCUUUCUCCCCUGACAGCAUAACUUAAUGAAUACAGUGUCUGCCGUAAGAGGCCCUCGAUACAUGUUGGUUAUGUAAAUCAAAGAAAAUGACCAAGGCGAGUCUCGAUGAUUUGGGUUUAUUUGCCAAGGUUAAGGAUGCACUCAGGAAAGAACACAGAUCCACAGGAAGAACUGUGCUCCAUGCUUUUUCCAAAGAGGGUCUGGGGACCUCAAUAUUUAAAGGGAAAAGAAUGAAUAUUGGAGAAAGAGAAAGAAAGUUUUUUUUUACAAAGGGUGUGGGUGGAUAAGAGGCAAGCAGUUGCAUUCUUUUGAGUCUUUGAUCAGCCAUUUACAUGUGAGAGGGUGGUAGAGGUACAGUCACUUACACAUUCAAUGAAUCUGCAUUUUUUACAUAACAUAAACAUAGGGCAGAGGAAGCAAUCAGAUAUGCCUUUGUCUCAGGUAAGCAGAGGGAUGUCUUUGAUUUCUGUCCUUUGCCCCAUACCUGCAAAGAUAAGCUAUCAGUAUACAUUGCCAGGGUGAGAUUCAACAGAACUGUUUUAGAGUAAAGAUCUGGGAGCCCACAGGAAUUACCCUGUGGGCAAAUUGUGAGGGAGGUCUGUAGCUUUAUUAUCUUGUAGCUAUCUAUUUAGGAACAAAAUGGGAGGCAGGUUUGCAAGACCCAGUUCCCAGCUGGACUUUUCCCCUUUGGCUUAGUGAGUUUAGGGUCCCAAGAUUUAUUUUCCUUUCACAGUUGAAUCAGGGAAUAAAUGAGUUAACUGUUCCUAAAUUCGACCUCCCCAAUAAUGGUGUCCAUAACAACAUCAAUUUCUUGGAAAGCAAUCUGACUAUAUAUCUUGUUCUGCAUGGCUAAGGAAGGCAUUAGCAGCUAUAAUGCUGGAAAGGAAAUAAUAGAAAUAAGAAAGACUGCUGAGUCAAUAGAGAAUGCAUUACAAAGAGGAAAUUGUCCUGUCACCAGUCAGAAAUCUUAAUUGAGGUCUGUUAUGUGCCAGGUCCUUUUCUAGGUAUUGUCUAUUGCUUAGUUUAUUGCAGAAAUAAACUACAGCAGGUACUGUAUUUCCUCUUUUCAUUUUAAUUUAAUUUAAUUUAAUUUUUUUUUGAGGUGGAGUCUCGCUCUGUCACCCAGGCUGGAGUACAGUGACGUGAUCUCGGCUCACCACAAACUCUGCCUUCUGGGUUCAAGAGAUUCUCUUGCCUCAGCCUCCCAAAUAGCUGGGAUUAUAGGUACAUGCCACCAUGCCCAGCUAUUUUUUGUAUUUUUAGUAGAGAUGGAGUUUCACCAUGUUGGCCAGGCUGGUCUCGAACUCCUCACCUCAGGUGAUCCACCCGCCUCGGCUUCCCAAAGUGCUGGGAUUACAGGUGUGAGCCACCACGCCUGGCCUCCUCUUUUCAUUUUAGGUUCAGAACCCU